UAGUCAAUGCUCGAAAGAGUGAACUAGCUAACUGAAAUCAAUAAUAAUAAUUGAUAACAUAAGGGAAAAUAAUGAUAUUACCUUAUUAUUAGUGUCGUCCAAAACUGGUGCCAGAAGACUCGGUAAGGCCAGAGACACAAACGUUAAUCGUCUUAAUCAGGCGUAAAGGGUUUGUAGGCGGCUUUAAAAUUUACUUAAAAAAACAAAAAAAUAAAUAAACAAAACAAAAAAUAAUAAGUAAAAAAUAAAAGCUAGAAUCAAAUAGAGGAUAUAUGAAAGAAUGCUUAGAGUAGGUCUGAUAUCUUUAGAUACUAAGUAGAAUAUUAAAGGCGAAAGCUUUUUUCCAUUAAUGAUUGACGCUCAGAAACGAAGGUGAGGAUAGGAAAUAGGAUUAGAUACCCAGAAUACCCCUCUCUGUCAACGAUGAAUGGUAGUUAUUAGUAAAAAUAUAUUAAUGACAAUGUUAACACGAUAACCAUUCCGCCUUGUGAGUACAACUGCAAAGUUGAAAACAAAAAAAUUAGUCGCUCGAGCA
rnacentral:rRNA from 1 species